AGCGAACGCUGGCGGCAGGCCUAACACAUGCAAGUCGAACGAACCUUUCGGGGUUAGUGGCGGACGGGUGAGUAACACGUGGGAACGUGCCUUUAGGUGCGGAAUAACUCAGGGAAACUUGUGCUAAUACCGAAUGUGCCCUUCGGGGGAAAGAUUAAUCGCCUUUAGAGCGGCCCGCGUCUGAUUAGCUAGUUGGUUGAGGUAAUGGCUCACCAAGGCGACGAUCAGUAGCUGGUCUGAGAGGAUGAGCAGCCACAUUGGGACUGAGACACGGCCCAAACUCCUACGGGAGGCAGCAGUGGGGAAUCUUGCGCAAUGGGCGAAAGCCUGACGCAGCCAUGCCGCGUGAAUGAUGAAGGUCUUAGGAUUGUAAAAUUCUUUCACCGGGGACGAUAAUGACGGUACCCGGAGAAGAAGCCCCGGCUAACUUCGUG
rnacentral:rRNA from 1 species